UUAAUGUUUACAUAAUUAUAUUGACUGAGCCGAUGAUAAACAAAACAAACUGACACCACACAAGCGUAACAGAUAUCAAGCAUUAUUAUUUAAAAGUGAUUUUUACUCCUGUCGGUGAAUCAACAUAACACGACCUAAAUAUGGUGUGAAUGAUAAUAAACCUCUGCAGUUAUCUGAAGGAGAAACUCACUGGAAAGUCGAAGGACAAACGUGAUGUUACCCUGAUAACUGAAGAGACUCCUAAAUCUACCUCAGCGUAUGGGCAAAGCCAUGAAAACUACAGGGAAAGUAAAUAUAGGCAAGAUCAAAAUGGAAUGAGAAGGACCAAUGCAGCAAUGCCAACCAUACCAAAUGGAUAGACACUGUAAAAAGUUGAACACAAUUUAGAUUAUAAUGUACAGUUAUAUUUAUUUGAAAUACAUUUAAUGAAGGAAAUACCUUAAACUUGAACAGAGAAUGGUAUAACUGGAUGUAUUCAUUGUAUAUUCAAUUAAAUAUUACUUUUUCAUUAUUCAGUAAUUACUGUUUUGUUUUUUUAAUCUUUUGAAAAUAUUUGAAACUGUUUUUUUCAUUUUGCUAUCCUGUUUAUUUAUUAAAUUCAAUUGAAGUUUA